UCGGGGUCAUUGAUUUAGAGCAAUAAUAGU
rnacentral:piRNA from 1 species